UACGUAGGGUCCGAGCGUUGUCCGGAAUUACUGGGCGUAAAGGGCGCGUAGGCGGUCAGCACAAGUCAGUUGUGAAAUCUCCGGGCUUAACUCGGAAAGGUCAACUGAUACUGUGCGACUAGAGUGCAGAAGGGGCAACUGGAAUUCUCGGUGUAGCGGUGAAAUGCGUAGAUAUCGAGAGGAACACCUGCGGCGAAGGCGGGUUGCUGGGCUGACACUGACGCUGAUGCGCGAAAGCCAGGGGAGCGAACGGG
rnacentral:rRNA from 1 species